rnacentral:rRNA from 1 species
GCUAGUAAUCGCGGAUCAGCAUGCCGCGGUGAAUACGUUCUCGGGCCUUGUACACACCGCCCGUCACACCAUGGGAGUCGGUAACACCCGAAGUCUGUAGCCUGACGCAAGAGGGCGCAGCCGAAGGUGGGAUUGAUGACUGGGGUGAAGUCGUAACAAGGUACC